GACGAACGCUGGCGGCGUGCUUAACACAUGCAAGUCGAACGCUUCUUUCCUGCUUUUUUGUUGUGCUCAAUUGGCGAACGGGUUAGUAACACGUUAGUUACCUCCCCUUUACUCUGGGAUUACUUCAGGAAACUCGGUCGAAUACCGGAUAUGAUCUCCUGCUGCAUUUUGUGGGUUGUAAAGUUUCGGGGGUUGGGGAUGGCCUCGCUGCUUAUGAGCUUGUUGGUCGGUUAGUGGCUUACCAAGUCUGUGACCGGUAGCCGGCCUGAGAGGGUGAACGGCCACAUGGGGACUGAGAUACGGCGCAGAAUCCAACGGGAGGCAGCGGUGGAGAGUAUGGCAGAAUGGGGGGAAGCCAGAGGAAGCAACGCCGGGUGCGGGAUGACGGGCUGCGGGUGGUAAACCGGGUUCGCAGGAGAUGAAGGGUGAGUGACGGUAAUGGGUAAAGAAGCAACGGCUAACUACGUG
rnacentral:rRNA from 1 species